rnacentral:misc_RNA from 1 species
AACGGUCUAUACCUGCGGUACCUGCGGAAGGAUCAUUAACGAUUUCGGUGUAAAAAACCGUUUUCUACCUAUGUCUACGCGUACCACUUGUUUCCUCGGGGGGCUUGCCCCCCGCUAGGACCCUUUAUCAAACCUUUUUGUAAUAGCAGUCAGCGUCUGAUACUACGUUAAUUAUUAAAACUUUCAACAACGGAUCUCU